rnacentral:rRNA from 1 species
UCAGUAACGGCGAGUGAACAGGGAACAAGCUCAAAGUUGGAAUCUAUCUGGCUUAGCCAGAUCGAAUUGUAAACUUUAGAGUCGUUGUCCAGACCAGCCGAGUAAAUAAGUUCCUUGGAAUAGGACAUCAUGGAGGGUGAGAAUCCCGUCUUUGGCUUGAGCAUUGGUCUUUUGUGAUGCGACUUCAACGAGUCAGGUUGUUUGGGAAUGCAGCCUUAAUUGGGUGGUAAAUCUCACCUAAAGCUAAAUAUUGGCGAGAGACCGAUAGCGAACAAGUACCGUGAGGGAAAGAUGAAAAGAACUUUGAAAAGAGAGUUAAACAGUAUGUGAAAUUGCUAAAAGGGAACCGUUUGAAGUCAGUCUGGCUGGUCUGCAAUCAGCUUCAACUUUGGUUGGAGUGCACUUGUAGGCCAUUUUGCCUGCCAACAACAGUUUGUUCUGCAGCAAAAAGGUGUUGAGAAUGUAGCUUUCUCUUUGGAGAAAGUGUUAUAGCUCUUCGCGAAAUACUGUGGUUCAGACUGAGGCUUGCAGUGAAUGCUAUUUUGGCUUUGGGGAUGGAUUGCUCAGUGCUUUGCUUGGUUAGUUUUCGGCCGUCAAACGUCGUGCUGGCUAAAUAAAGUCUGACUCGGUUCAUUCACUUUUAAUUCACUUUGGUUGUUGGCUUAAUGAC